rnacentral:rRNA from 1 species
AACGAACGCUGGCGGCAUGCCUAACACAUGCAAGUCGAACGAGACCUUCGGGUUUAGUGGCGCACGGGUGCGUAACGCGUGGGAACCUGCCCUUAUGUUCGGAAUAACUCCCCGAAAGGGGUGCUAAUACCGGAUAAUCUCUUCGGACCAAAGAUUUAUCGCCUUUGGAUUGGCCCGCGUUGGAUUAGCUAGUUGGUAGGGUAAUAGCCUACCAAGGCGACGAUCCAUAGCUGGUCUGAGAGGAUGAUCAGCCACACUGGGACUGAGACACGGCCCAGACUCCUACGGGAGGCAGCAGUGGGGAAUAUUGGACAAUGGGGGAAAGCCUGAUCCAGCAAUGCCGCGUGAGUGAUGAAGGCCUUAGGGUUGUAAAGCUCUUUUAGCCGGGAUGAUAAUGACAGUACCGGGAGAAGAAGCUCCGGCUAACUCCGUG